CAUCAGAUCCAUCAUCAGAUCCAUCAGAUCCAUCAUCACAUCCAUCAAAUCCAUCAUCAGAUACAUCAAAUCCAUCAGCUCUACCAUGUCCGGCACCUAUAAUCAUCGGAGUGGUUGUCUUACUCUCGCUGACUCUGCUGUUGGUGAUCACCGCUCUUUCCUUCUACUGUAAGGCCAGCAGGGGGCAGAAGCCGGACAGACCGAGGAACAUUGUGCUGGUUUAUUAUAAGCGUUUUUUUUCUGCAGCUGAAGGAGCGCUGACUGAAGAGGAAGGAGCACAGAGAGCAGAGUAACACCUCCAAGGAGCUCAUCUCACAUGCUGAUGGAUUUUAUUAUUCAACUUCCCUUUAACUGUUGUCUAAGCCAUGUCUUCCCAUCUUUGGGUCACCUGGUUUCCUUAUGUCAUAACAGUGCGUUCCAUUUACCUUGGAACUCAGAAACCAGAGCUGGGAAUUAUGUAACACCUGAGUUGACUGCUUCAAUUUAACAAGUCUCAUUUUCAUUGUGGGGUUAGCUCUAGCCAGGUUAGCUACUGUUAGCAAUACCAGUUGAUAACAACGCAAUACGCUAAUUGUUCAUAUAAUUCAAUAGCAUAACAUGUCCACACAUAGAUGAUAAAUAGGACUGUGUGUAUGACUGAUUUAAUGAGACACAAAUUAGACAGAAGAGCGAAUAAACUGUAUGUUACUACAGCUUUCACUGCAGGGGACACUUCAUGGGGCAGCCAUGUUGGAUUAUGAGCUUGGAGUAGUGUGAGGUCGUCCUAGUUUGUUCCCAACUCGGACAUCCUAGUUCAGGGGGUGUUUCCAACUUUGACCUCGGAAAAUCCAACCUCUUACUUCAAAUGGAAUGCACUGUAAUGCUUAUAACCUCAACCCUGUUAUGCACAAUCACACUAUAAACAUUUCUGUCAGGAGAACCUGGGCUAUCAGGAUAUGUAUGCUGCAGGGAUGUCACAUUAAUGUAUAAACUGUUAUAUUACUAUAAAGACAAGAGAAAAAACUAAACAGAAAUGUAUUGAAAUCACACAGAUAAAUAAUUAUUAUUAAGUUAUGACAGAACACUAAACACAGAGAAAUCUAGUACUAUUACUACCUUAAUAAAGUACUUUCAGGUGUUUGCUGGAGGAUCAACACAGAGAGAUGAAAAGAUGAAUAUCUGUGAUAAAUGUUUCUCUAUUAUCCGUUCAGAGGAAAUAAAACCUCUUUAAUAAACUGUGAAACUCUG